GGUGCAUGUGAUUCAGAUUCUGUUCAGUUGAACCUCUGGUUACAAAGUUGGUUGGACAGUGUUCUCGAAGCUACCAGCAUGAGUUUGACCAGACUGCAGGAGGACAGGAAGACUGGAGUGCCUGGAACAGGCGAGGCUGCAGGUCCCUUAUUUUGGCUGCUGAUCCCUUAUUUUCAAGGCUGCUGGUCCCUUAUUUUCAAGGCUGCUGGUCCCUUAUUUUCAAAUCUGUAAGUUGACAGCUAUGCUUGGGGGUCUUCUCUCCCUAGAAGAGCUGCCCCCUUCUGACUGGAAGGUGACCCAGGGGGAGCCUAUGUUCCCCCAAGAUCUGCUUCUCCUGCCUCACACUCCUGUCUGUAGACCUUCCCCAGAGCCCAACCGGCUCUCCCUAUCCAAGCUGGGAGGGUCUUUCCUCUCACUAUGGGCAGUCUCCUCAGGGUGGUUGUUCAACUCUAAUCAGAACCAGUUCUCCUCCCGUCAAAUCCUAUCCUCCUCCCCAACUCCCAUCUUCGAACAAUCCCUCUCCCUCUUCUCAAAUCCAGUCCUGUCUCCUCUCAAAUCAAGCUCUUUCCCUCAACCUGAGCCCCGUC